rnacentral:lncRNA from 1 species
CUAUGCUAAUAGAAUAAUUAAAAAAGACUUAUUCCCUAAAUGACUACUCUAACUUUGUCCAAAAAAACUGGAAUACGAAUGAGAUCCACAAUGCCAUCAUUGUAUGGCCGAUAGUAGUACAGUAAAUGACGCCUUCCUCUUCAGCGCCACGCAUAAUUGGCUCGCGUAAAGGCAGAAGAAAGAAAGCCCGAACGAAAGAAAGCUGACCAGGAGUGCCAAACCACUCUAGUAUCUUCACCCUUGCACCCCCUAUGCUAUUAUACUUUCCCGAACGAAAGAAAGCUGACCAGGAGGUGCCAAACCACUCUAGUAUCUUCACCCUUGCACCCCCUAUGCUAUUAUACUUGGACUA